AUAAACACCCAGUUAAUUGGCUGAAAGGUUUGUGGUAAGAAGCCUAAACAAAAUUUUGUUUUAGAACAUAAAUUUUGACCUCAAAUCAGGUAAGGAUACCCGCUGAACUUAAGCAUAUCAAUAAGCGGAGGAAAAGAAACCAACAGGGAUUGCCUUAGUAACGGCGAGUGAAGCGGCAAAAGCUCAAAUUUGAAAUCUAGUGCCUUUGGUACUCGAGUUGUAAUUUGAAGAAUUUUUCUCCGAACAGUCCUUUAUCUAUGUUCCUUGGAACAGGACGUCAUAGAGGGUGAGAAUCCCGUGUGAUUUUGGAUACUGUUCAUUGUGAGAUUUAUUCGAAGAGUCGAGUUGUUUGGGAAUGCAGCUCUAAGUGGGUGGUAAGUUCCAUCUAAAGCUAAAUAUUGGCGAGAGACCGAUAGCGAACAAGUACAGUGAUGGAAAGAUGAAAAGAACUCUGAAGAGAGGGUGAAAAAGUACGUGAAAUUGCUGAAAGGGAAGGGCUUUAGGUCAGACUUGGUGUUUAAUACUCAGUUCUCCUUGUGGGAGCUGCUCUUGUUUUUCACUGGGCCAAUAUCAGUUUUGGCGGUAGAGCACCUCUGGAAAUGUAGCUGCCUUCGGGUAGUGUUAUAGUCUGGGGACGAUCUACUGCUGGGACUGAGGUCUGCGCAUUUGCUAGGAUAUUGGCAUAAUGACCUUAAGCCGCCCGUCUUGAAACACGGA
rnacentral:rRNA from 1 species